AGUGAACGCUGGCGGUAGGCCUAACACAUGCAAGUCGAACGGCAGCACAGUAAGAGCUUGCUCUUACGGGUGGCGAGUGGCGGACGGGUGAGGAAUACAUCGGAAUCUACUUUUUCGUGGGGGAUAACGUAGGGAAACUUACGCUAAUACCGCAUACGACCUACGGGUGAAAGCAGGGGAUCUUCGGACCUUGCGCGAUUGAAUGAGCCGAUGUCGGAUUAGCUAGUUGGCGGGGUAAAGGCCCACCAAGGCGACGAUCCGUAGCUGGUCUGAGAGGAUGAUCAGCCACACUGGAACUGAGACACGGUCCAGACUCCUACGGGAGGCAGCAGUGGGGAAUAUUGGACAAUGGGCACAAGCCUGAUCCAGCCAUACCGCGUGGGUGAAGAAGGCCUUCGGGUUGUAAAGCCCUUUUGUUGGGAAAGAAAAGCAGCGGGUUAAUACCCCGCUGUUCUGACGGUACCCAAAGAAUAAGCACCGGCUAACUUCGUG
rnacentral:rRNA from 1 species